rnacentral:rRNA from 1 species
AGGAGUUUGAUCCUGGCUCAGAACGAACGCUGGCGGCGUGCUUAAGACAUGCAAGUCGGACGGUAAGGCCCCCUUCGGGGGGUACACGAGUGGCGCACGGGUGAGUAACGCGUGGGUAACCUGCCUUCGGGUCCGGGACAACUCCGGGAAACUGGAGGUAAUACCGGAUGAGACCACGAGGUCCUCGGACUUCGCGGAAAAAGAUGGCCUCUCCUUGGAAGCUAUCGCCUGUUGAUGGGCCCGCGUCCCAUUAGCUUGUUGGUGAGGUAACGGCUCACCAAGGCUUCGAUGGGUAGCUGGUCUGAGAGGAUGAUCAGCCACACUGGAACUGAGACACGGUCCAGACUCCUACGGGAGGCAGCAGUCGGGAAUCUUGGGCAAUGGGGGCAACCCUGACCCAGCAACGCCGCGUGAGGGAUGAAGGCCUUCGGGUCGUAAACCUCUGUCGGGAGGGAAGAAAGGUCACUGUUCAAAUAGGGCAGGGACUUGACGGUACCUCCAAAGGAAGCACCGGCUAACUCCGUGCCAGCAGCCGCGGUAAUACGGAGGGUGCAAGCGUUGUUCGGAAUCAUUGGGCGUAAAGCGCGUGUAGGCGGCUUGGUAAGUCGGGUGUGAAAGCCCGGGGCUCAACCCCGGAAAUGCAUUCGAAACUGCCUCGCUUGAGUCCCGGAGAGGAAGGCAGAAUUCCCGGUGUAGGGG